UCUCCCGCUGCUGACCCGGGCCCGCUCCUGCAGCACCCGACUCUUGGGGCCAAGAGGAGGCAGGGGGGUACUUUGCAUCCGUGCCCUGACCUACGGCUCUCCUCUGGGCGGAAUGGAAAAGAGCUGGUUUGCAGCUCAGAUACCGGACGCACCGUUAGAUUCCGAUGUCCUUAUUAAAGUUAUUGUAACAACAGCAAUAGUACUACCACUAAUAAUAACGAUAAUAAUACUUAUAAUAGUAAUGAUAAUAAUUCCACAGUUAUAAAGGCGCAGGUGCUGCCUGGGCGGUGUACAGUGUGCGCCAGGUGCGAGAGCCAGGCGGCAGCGAGGGAAGAGACAGCGGGGAGGGAUGGAGGGACACCCGGAGCAUGAGAGGCGGCAGCGGCAGAGAGCAGAGACAGACUCGCGGCGGCUGUGGGCACGUGCAGGCUGAACAGAGUUACUUACGGCCGUUGUAGUCCGGGCAGUCUCACCAGGGGAAAGAGCCGACUGGAGAACCUGAUUCCGCUUUCUGAUUUGCUUUUGGAAUCCCUGCGUGAAGCUGUUACACAGCAAAGAGCAUCAAUUGGUAUAGACAUUCCAGAGGGACUAUGAAGCCUCAGGGCACCUCAGGCUGUCAGCUUUGAUGCAAAUCUGACAACGCGCUUCUCUUAAGUUGGGACCUCCCACCAUUUCCGCGCAGCAAGGUUGGGCUACACUCAUUACAAAUGACCCAGUAAAAGAAAAAAAAAAAAAAAAAAAAAAAAAA